rnacentral:rRNA from 1 species
GAUGAACGCUAGCUACAGGCUUAAUACCUGAUAGUAUGGUGAGAUUGCAUGAUAGCACCAUUAAAGAUUUAUUGGUAAACGAUGGGGAUGCGUUCCAUUAGGUAGUAGGCGGGGUAACGGCCCACCUAGCCGACGAUGGAUAGGGGUUCUGAGAGGAAGGUCCCCCACAUUGGAACUGAGACACGGUCCAAACUCCUACGGGAGGCAGCAGUGAGGAAUAUUGGUCAAUGGGCGAGAGCCUGAACCAGCCAAGUAGCGUGAAGGAUGAAGGUCCUACGGAUUGUAAACUUCUUUUAUACGGGAAUAAAGUAUCCUACGUGUAGGAUUUUGUAUGUACCGUAUGAAUAAGCAUCGGCUAACUCCGUG